GUAGCCUAAAUUUGCUGGGUAAGCGCUAUGACAUGCAGAGCCUUUUCAUUGUAUCAUCUGCCUUACUCUACUCAUCGUCUAUUUCCCUAUUAACCUAUCUAAAGAUGCAAUUCUGAAAUAGGAGACAAACACGGAGACAGAGAGGACGGGUUGAUCGGUGGUUACCGCUAAUAUACAUCUGGAGAUAAUUUUAAGAGUUUCAAGUAGUUCAAAGAUACCGCAAAUUUUUACAAAUUGGCGGCAAUUAAGGCUUGAUAAUUUGACAUUUGAAAAAGCCAUAUCAGUUGCUCCGUCUUCCUUUGCUAUUCAGGUAGUAUGGCCGAUUGACGACAUCUUUGAUAUGCUUCACUUGGCUAGACUAUCAACUUUGGUGUCAUUCUUUUGCAUAGCCUCUCAAAAAUCCGUACUAUAGAACUUCUUAUACGUUCUUCUGUUCACUGUGCUGUUGUUUCUGGUAUAACAAGAGCAACUGAUUUGGUUACUGUACCAGAUACUUAAAAGGGAAUAAGCGGUUAAAUGUGUUGUGAUUUUUAUGUGCGUGAAAAUACACACUUCAUGUAUUUUGUGGGUAUUGCAUUAAUAAUACCGGAUUGUAAUCGUUACUUGUGGUAGCAGUAGCAUUGUAGUGUAUGUUUUUGUCC